UAGCCUUGGCUGGGGUCUGUGUUUUCCUGCCUUGGCUGGGGUCUGUGUUUUCCUGCCUUGGCUGGGGUCUGUGUUUUCCUGCUGUAAGAAGCUAGGGAUACAGAACUCAACCACAGAACUGAGAUUUCACCGUGCCUCCAGUUAUGACUAAUGUAGUUGUGGUUGUUGUGAUCUGGGAGUCUGAGUGUGAAUGGAAACUCACCUUGAUCACGCUGCUUCUCUUUGAUGAUUUUGAGCUUUUUAACUUGAUUUGCCAUUUUCUUUUAGGGGGCUAUAUUUUUCGAUGUUGUAAAGAAGUUCUGACUGAAGUACAAUGAACCUUGCCCUUUGACCUCAUCAUCCUUAUCCCUUAUAGCAUAUUGAAAGGUUGACAGUUGACAUAGCAUAUUGAUCCAUCUGCAUUGAAAGGUUGACAGUUGACAUAGCAUAUUGAUCCAUCUGCAUUGAAAGGUUGACAGUUGACAUAGCAUAUUGAUCCAUCUGCAUUGAAAGGUUGACAGUUGACAUAGCAUAUUUAUCCAUCUGCAUUGAAAGGUUGACAGUUGACAUAGCAUAUUGAUCCAUCUGCAUUGAAAGGUUGACAGUUGACAUAGCAUAUUUAUCCAUCUGCUUUGAAAGGUUGACAGUUGACAUAGCAUAUUUAUCCAUCUGCACUGAAAGGUUGACAGUUGACUUUCCCCUAUUUAAUGCAGUGUUAUAUUAGAGAUGAGUUGAGACAUCAUGGUGCCACAUAGUGAAACAUCAAGGAAUAUAAAGGAUUAUAUUUAAGGGGUGAGUAUACCAACUGGGAACAAGUUCUUCUAUGCCAUUUAUUCCCUGUUCCACGUUCUUCCCCUCACAAGACCAGGUGAACCGCUAUAUUAAUAAUAUAGCCAUCUAGCACAUACUUUUAUCCGAGGAUAUACAUUUUACUUGUGGGUGGUCCCAGGAAUCGAACACACUAUCAAGACUAACACCCAUAUCACCUGUUUUUACCAAUAAAGGCACUCUACAUUG